GUGAUAUUGGCCAGGGUUUGCGAUCCGAAAACUGAGGAGGUGGUGACGAAGUUUCUGCACAUGCCAGUGUGCAACAUUGGCACAGCAGAGAACCUCUUUGAGUCACUGAACGCAGUGCUAAGUGACAGAAAAAUUGACUGGAGAAACGAAACCAUGCAGCAUUAAUGUUAUGGAGCUAGGAAACAGUCUGCCGCAGCUGCGAUUGGACCUGACCAGCCUCCGGGUACAAGUACUGGAGUACCAAUUGCUUGCCAGGGAACAUCUUCCCCAGGAAGCAAGGAUUGACCGGUUUUGGGCCAUGCUAGGGAGAGAUGGAAGAUUCCCCACACUCGUGCAUUUGAUGAAAGCACUUUUAUGCGUGCCACACAGCAAUGCAUCAUCAGAGAGGGUGUUCAGUAUGGUUCGAAAAAUAGUGACAGAGAAUAGAAAGAGGAUGGACAAUUCAACCCUUAACUCACUCCUUUCCUGCAAAAUAAAUUUCACAGAUGCUGCCCACAGCUAUAUUCCUUCAAAGGCUGUGCUUCUGGCUGCAAAGCAUUGUACUUUCAAGUACUACAAUGAGUAGAUGAGUG